GGUGUAGUUCAGUUGGUUAGAGCGUCAGAUUGUGGUUCUGAAUGUCGUGGGUUCGAGUCCCUCUACC
rnacentral:tRNA from 1 species